UUUUUUUUUUUUUUUUUUUUUUUUUUAGCUUUCUGUGUGGUGCAAUUUCCAGAGAGCUUGAAGGAGAGCCAUCAUGCAGGAAAAAUAAAUAGUAGAUAUUGAGUGGAGCAAUAGUAAGAGCUAGACACCUCACAUAGACCCAGUUUUCCAAUUUUUUCCAUAUAACUCCACUAGUUUUCUUUAAAAUGUUCCUUGGUGGGGAGAGGUUGAAAGUACUCUGAAACACACCAAAAAUUAUCAAAAAGGGACGCACAAUUCGUAAGCUUCAACUGGGAGGAAAACUUAUUGAAAUAAAUUUUUUACUAACCUGUUUUUUUGGGUUUUUUUUAAGCAAUCCAAUCCUUCUUCCUGCAAUUCUUACCUAGACAGGCCCAUGAAACCUGUGGUACUGGAGAAGAAGUGACGCCUCGAAGUUACUCAGCAUGACAAGAGCUGGAAAAUACUUCUGCACCUGGCUGUCUUUGGGAGGAAAGACUGUGUGAAGUGUGAGGUGUGAGGAAAGACUCCUACCCCUUUGGAUUAUGAAAACAGUGCUUAUAAUAAGACUGCAUGUUGUGACUCUUUGGGGGUGAGACCAAACACCACAUUCUGGGUUCCGACACAGUGGAUGGAGACAUGAGAGUUUAGCAAUGGAUUUUGCUUUAAUAAAGUGUGCCUGCUGUGAUGUUGCUUCUGUUUCUAAGUGGGAUCUCUCAUUCCUCGUGAUAUGAAGCUCCACAAUUCCAUUUUAUUGGGCAAGCAAGGCAAUCCUUCGUUAGCUCAGAGCUCCACUGACUUCAAGAGGGUGUAAUGCCAAGGUUUAAAGUCUUCCAUGUAGAACCUUGCAUGAAAAAUUUAGCUGGGUUGAGCCUGAACUUGGCUGUGUUUGUAUUUCUUGUAGCUGAAAUAUGUUAUCCUGUGAUAACAGCAUCAGUAAUCUUUUAGUAGGGUAUUACAGAAAGUGAACAGCACUAUGUUUAUGAUAAACAGGAAAUUGUAUACUCUUUGAGUUAUUAAUUAGCAUAGAAGGAUAUGUACAUAAAAAACUUUUGAACUAAAAUGGAGAGCAUGUUCUGAUAUAGUACAUUUUUGCUGGUUAUGUCACUAACACUUCUAUUAUUAUGCAAAUAAGCAAAUAUUUGUAGAAAUCCUGUAUUUAUGAUUUAGCAUUAUUAGAUAAUUUCAGAAGGAAUAGCUGGCACCUCCUUUCUUAUAAAAACACUUGUGUAGUCACUGGAAUGAUAAAUAUUUUUAAGGAUUUUGAAUCUAAUAAAUAACAUAAUUAAUAAAUAAAAUAAAUAUAAAUAACAAGUAAAAUAAUAAUAUAAUAUCUUUUUAAGGAUCAUAUGUAUAUUUAUUGUUACCCUAGUUUUUCCCCUAUGUCAUUUUUAACAGCAAUAUGGAGUGAUUUCAAUAUCUGUUUCAGCAGAUUAUUUCAACAAUAACACAAAUCUGUUGCAAAAGUUACUACUUGAAAAAGUUCUUGUACCUUAUAAAGUGCUACUUAUGAAUGCAAUAAGUGACAUAAAUAUGCCACUAAAUCUGACUUGAUCUAAACCUCUCUAAAUCUAGGUGAAAUACCCGUCUGUAAAAUACAUCAGAAAUAAAGUCCAGGUGCAUCAUGAAGGUGAAGUUAAGUAAGUUCUGUAGUGAGGUCUUUGAUAAAAAUUUAUUUUGCUGAUUAUAAGAGGUGAAAAUUAAAUACAUGCUAGCUCCUGCAAUGAAUGAAAUAAUUUAAUUCCAAAUACAAUAACUGUAAAUUUUGCAUACCUAAUUAAUGUCUUCUUUCUAUAUUCAGGCAUGAUCAUUAAUUUUUUAACUAGCUUACUACUGAUUUAAUUAAUUCCAGAAGUAUCAUUACUGAUAUGUUAUUUGGCUAAAGCAGGCAUCCGUCUACCCCUUAAAAUAUUUUUGAUACAUUUACUAAAACCAGUAACUUUAUAUAUUUCUUCCUAUUACCGUGAUAAAAGUGUUGAUAAAUUUAAGUAGCGUGUGUUUGCUAAGCAUUUUUUGGUUUUCUUUUUUUCAGAAUAAAAGAAAAAAUCUCUAUUGAAUGUGCAAUGGAAGCAAAUGUUUUUCCAGUUCAGCAGUUUCUGCUGAAUUGUAAACAAUUGGGUUGUUUCAAAAGGAGAGUAGCAUGGUCUGUAACUCCGACAGCUAGUAGUAGUUUAGUUUACUGCUUCUACCACCUGCCUUCUGACUUAAUAUUGGAAGCAAGAAGCAUGCAAUUAAGUAUGAGGAAAUGAAAAUAAAUGACACUGUUCAUUGCACAUUACAAAGUGCCUGGCAGAGAGAAUGCAGCUUGCCUGGACCUGAUGACCCCAGGGGAAAACAUGUCUCGUGCCUGGGAAAGCGCCAGCGAAUCAGACACUGACCCUGGCUUUAUCCACUAUCAAAUGCAUUGGUUUCCUUCUUAGCAAUUUGAAACUUUUUUUUUUUUUUUUUAAAUUAUAAUUGAGUUCUGAAAAGCAGGGAGAUAUAAAAUGAAACAUACACGAAGUGUGUGGUAGAAGCUAAAGAACACCAAAUGUGCAGGAGUAUUUUCUUUAUCAUUUCUUGAGGAAAGUUAUUUGCAUUACAUCCUGAAUUGGACUAAUUUGGACUGGUUACUAUAUUCUAAGGCUUCUAGAGGUGAAGAUGUUUUUAAAGAUUACUUCCAUCUAUGCAGCAAUAUUGGAUUCAAUGCAAUAUUACUGGGUAUAUAACUCAAAACCUCCCCUCAUUCCAGAAUCUGAAUGCUUAAAACCUGUUUCAUUUUAAAAUGCCUGUUCUGUGAACACUAUACCCUUUUCCUAUAUAUCUGGCUUAUACAGUGGUUAGAACACAAAGUAAUAAUUGUAUUUAAGUCAUUUGUCUGAAAUUGUCUAUGCAUUUUUACAGAGGUAAGUAAAUGCUAUCCUGAUAUUACAGAAUAGGCAGAAACUGCACCAUAGAGAAAUCUGAUGUCUUGCUCAGAACACGUAACACAUCAAAGAGUAGUUGAAAGUGAGAUAACCAGUUGUACAAGAAAAUGAAGGUUUUCACAUAAAUCAUGUUAUUUUGCUACAGAAGUCAAAUUAGUCUUUUUUUUUAGAUGAAUGUAGGUGCCUUACAAAUGAAUUAACACAUUACAGAUUACUGUAAUGCCUUAAUUCAGCAUUACUAUCUGAUUUAGAUGGCCAUGUAUAAAGAGUGGGGAAACUUUCAUAAUGAAAGCAGAAGCAAGUAGAGAUUUUCCUGUAUUCAUGAUCUGGUACAAAACUAGAACUCAGAUUAGAUAUGCCACAAUUUUUAAACUUUUCAGUGAAGCUAAAUAGCCAGAGAAUCUCAUAGAACAGACAAUUUCAGGUAGAAAUGCUGCCAAGACUUGGUGGUUUUUAGUGAUUUCAUCUUGAAGAAAGGAGCAUCUUGGUAGGUUGAUAGGUAUUGUUUUGAGUAUAGUUUUUUCACCCCAUAACCCAAAGUAAAACUCAAGGGUGCAAACUCAGAAGGAAUUGAAACUUUUUAGGGAGUCACAGACCCUCCAUUCCAAAACCACCAACUUUCACAUUUCGGGCUGUAUGCAAGUACACUGAUCUUUUUCUUUGUGUGCACACUCUGUAGAAGGAUUUUUUCAUAUUUCAACCAAAUUUUAGGUAAGUUCCUCACAUUCUAUGAAAGGUAGCCUUCUUCACUGCACUUCUUCACAGGACUGUAUUUGGAUGUCAGUCAUUGAGUUUCUGCUAGUUAAAAAUCAUGUCUUUCAGAGAUGCUUUCUAUCCAUAGUCCUGCACAACAUGAAAUAUGGUUGACAGCUAUAUUACCACACUGCAGAUUGCAAAGCAAUUCACUUUCACACUUCUAAGUGCCUCUCCUUUCAAGACUUAUGGACGUAUGCCAAAUUACUUGCAUUGUGGUAUAUGGCCUUCUAUAUGUACUUUAUAGAAUGGGUGUCUGGUUUCCAUUAAAAUCAAUGAAGUAGAGACCAAAAGAGCUUUUCUGAAGUGUUUACUAGAUGUCAGACAAGGUUAAUAAUAAAAUAGUUCAUGUAUAAUAUGUAUCUUCAAUAUAUUUCAGUGUUUAUCUUUAAGAAGAUAUUUUCUGAAUUUAGGAUGGAAAUUCCUCAGCUAAAUUUAAAUGUUGAGCAGCGUUAAGUUCAGCUGUCACUGUUUGCUCCCCAUUAGUGUCUCUGUAAAAAAUGAUUUCAUAUCCUAUUUAGAGAAGUGCUUCCAAAUGUAAUGGACCAGUAGCCAUUUAAGGACUCUAAGGUCUUGUGCUAACAAAAUCAUCAUGGUUAUCUCAAAUGAAAUGGGAAAGACACAAGAUGCCCUCCAAUGCCAUUUCUUCUAGAUAAAUUGGUGUCUAUGCCAUGUCAUAAAGCCUUGUUUGUAGUCACUAUUUCAUUACAGCAAUUCUUUUUCUGACAAGUUAAAGUGGAUGAUCAGCAGUGAUAGUAUAAUAAUAUGAUUAAUUUAUUAUUAAUUAUUAAAAUACUAGUGUGAUUUUUUUCAGGCAUAUUACUAUGGUAGAUGAGGCAAAAUUGUGGGGUUUAAAAAUAAAGCCCUGUGACAAACAUUAUAGUGACAAACUGAAUUUUGGGGGAGAGGAGAAAAGAGAGAGAUGCUCUAAAGUUAUCUGAAUGAAAUAUGGACUCAAGUGAAUUUAGUCAGUGUGAUGAAAAUUGACUUAUAUUUGGUGGAAAGACAUAAAAAUGAGUGUAUGAUGGUGGAGGGUACAUUUCACCUUUCUGUUUUUUUUUUUCAAUUAUAAUAUAAAGUUUCCCUUAGGACUACAGUACCUAGAAGAAAGCAGCAAUACAGUUUUAAAAUUGUCUUGAGAUUUAGAGGGGGAAAAAAAGAAAUACAUGGAAGUCAUUAUCACUGGCUUUUGUCAGUAAUCCUAAAUGCCUGAGGUUUUUGUUCUUGUUGAAGGAUGUGUUUUACCACAAUGGGGUAGGUAAAGUUGAGCUAGUGACUUGUUUUUCCAAAUAACAUUUUAUUUUUGUAGUCCAGAGUUCCACUAAGUUGUGUUCUCCAAAGAAUAAACAAAUUAUAUGCAGUGUUUUUCACUUGAACUUUACCAUAUGUGAAAAUUGUUGGUCUGUACCUCAAAGAUGUUCUGUAAAAUCAUCUACUGUGGUUAGGAAACGUCAGCAUGUCCAUUUAUCAAAAUAGCUUGAAAGAAAAUAUAGUGAACAGGGACCUAAAUGUACUGGAGCAGUUGCACUAGGUAAUGCUCCAUAAGUAAAUUUGAAAGUGAAGCAAACUGGUGCCGUUUAAAAAAAUACUGGUCUAGUUAGUAAGACAGAAAGUUUGCUGGCUAAUUUCAAAAUACAGAAAAGAAAUUUCUGGAUAUUAAAUUUAGUUUUUAAGAAUUCCUGUACUGGAACACACUUCCCCUUUAUCUCUGAAAAUAACCCAUGGAGGGUAGUAGUAGAUUCCAGCAAACAGCGUGAGUACAGCAUGGUCUUUCAUUUGAUAUGCCCGCAUAAGCUUGGCAUUUGCUUCUCGUAUCCCUAACCUUCAUGAGCCUGAUCUAAUCUCUUGCAACAUCUAUCAAGUGUGUCACAGUAAGAAAGUUUGUCCACUGAAGUGGUGGAAUGGAAAAACGGAAUCUCACAAGUGAGAAAUAUUUAUGCUUCCUUCACCAAGCUGUAAAGAGUCCACCACAGUUACAUAAGCCUUUCCUGCAGGGUUUCAGCAGCUCUAAACAUCCUCAACUAAGGUGACAAAAAUCAACAAAAGUACCCAAAAAGAAGCUGUAAACAGCAUGAAAACAAAUGAAGGCAGAAAAAUUAAACUUACAAAAAAACUUGCAGCCAUGCUUUAUGUUAAAAUAACUUUAAAAAAAAUUAGAGGUGUUCUUAGUUCUUUGUCCAGGCUUUCUCUUGCAUUUCAACCAGAUGCUGGAGAUGAGGAAAAUGUGGACAAAUAAGAUUCCUGAAGUGGUUUAGAAUGAGUGGUUCAGAAUGAGCAUUAAUGCAAGAUGCAUUUUGGAGUCUAUAGGAAGUUUCUUGGUAAUAGUAGUGAACAGAGAAAAAUGCAUUUCCACUCAGAACUACUGAUGCUAAAGUUGAAUUCUGCACAGAUUGCUGGAGAAACAACCUUUCUAGAAAAUAGAGGAAAAUUAUGGCACAACAGUGACUGCCACCUGCUGCAGUCCUGAGAUAAAAUGUGGGUGCCAGGAUAUUAUUUCCCAGCUGUGAUUAGCUCAUUGGUGGUUUCUGUAAAUGUGCUCCAAGAGAACUGCUCUGGAGACAGCUAACUAGAUUUUCAGCUCCUGACAAAAAAAAGACAUUAUGAGUGUGAGGAAAACAUCAAAUUCUCACUUUAAGUCCCUGGUCUCCUGUGCAAGGACCUGCUGCCAAAAUAUUUUCAACUACCUCUUAAUUUGUCUAUUUUUGUCCUUUACUGUUAGCCCGAAAGACCACAGCAAGUCCAGAACUAUGGUAUAAUAAAAUCCAGUGUUUCUUAAAAAAUGUUGAAAGCAAGCUUAUAUACUUAUCCAACAGAAACAUUGGAGACAGCUUUCUACAUUUUUGGUUUAGCUUGAAAGCAUAGACCAAAAUCAUGGCUGCUGGUCCAGAGCUGCAAAAUAUAGCAAAGCCAGCAUUCAAACAUGGCUGGUAGAAGCUGAGGAUGCUCAUAUUUCUUCACAGUGCACACGUAAGUGUGGUCUAGUAUGAUGUCAAGUCUACCACAGAACAUACCUUGCCUUUUUGGCCCCAGAAUUUUAUGGAAAAUUAAGAAUUUGCUAUUGGCAAAUGCGUAUAAAACAAUAUUGAAAAAAUAAUGGGACGUGGUGAUUUUUUUCAGUGGAAAGGAAAAAUGUCUUCAGAAGACAAAAAAAUGUGAUCUAUUAGCAUAAUAAUAUCAUCAAAGAUCAAGUGUUACAGUAUUUUAACACUUUUUUUAACACAUAUUUCUACAUUGCUGUUCCAUAAGCAUACAACAAUAGCAGGUUAAUAUAUCAAAUGUAUACAUAAAGUCUUCCCACUGUGCGUAACUGUUCCAUAUAUUACUGUUAUAUCGUCUGAGAUUAAGUAAACCCAGAAUGUAAUGUACUGUACAUAAAUAUAGCACUACUGAAUCAUAAUAAAAAUUUUAAAGUACCUUUUUACCAUGAGAACUGUGUCAGACUCUCAGUGAAAAUGUUGGUUAGCUGAAAUGAGAAGGCUUUUUUCUUUUACCAGAAACAUACCAAUUUCAGCAAAACUUGAGUUUCAGGAAGGAUUUUCUGGUUAAGCCUGAAUAAAACCUAACAUAGACAACCAGCCAAUGGAUGUCUGUGAACCAAGAGGGAACAAAGGUCAGUUUGUUCUUCUGUCUUUUUUUACAUAAGAGACUUGAACCUGGAUUUUCCACUCAAGUGAAUGCCCUCCCUCUUGCUGGUAGUUUCAGUUUCCCCCACCAAAUGUGUUCCCAUCAUUUUAAACAUGUAACUGACCAUUUGAAAGGUGGAGCAUCAGACCGGUUCUAGCAUAGCAACAGGGGAACUCAAGGAGAGGAAAUGAUGUUCAUGUUCUCAGAAAACUUUUGCAUAUUUCCAAAAUCAGAGUUCUGAUAAAAUUGAAAGUAACAAGGGUUUGAAAGUUAAAAAAAAAAAGGAAACUUGAAAGAUAUUCAUGCAUUCUUGAAGUAGCAGUAUUUCAAUAGGUAAACACUGCAACAGUAAGCAACCUCGUUUUUUAUGGUAAAGGAAGUAGCAGUGCAUACCAGAAUGUUGCCCAUGUUUGUAAUCUGUGGAGACAGUGACAACGUCUUGUUAUGGCUGAGUACGAAUUCAGUAUUUUCUAGACUUCUGGAAAAGCACACUCCACUGUGUCAGCUCUGGCAGGUCCACCCAUGCAGCAGGCAGCUGAAUGUCAAAGCCAAUUGCUAAUUCACCAAAGUGACAAUGAAGAGUUCAGGGCUGCAUGGGCUGAAGACAACAUGAAAGAGAAAAAAAAUGAAGCCACUAUAUUUACUUCUAUGGCCUUGGAUGAGUUUGCCAUAUUACCUUCUUACCCUGCAUUCAUUUCACUAUCAGGCAAUCUCCUGAAACAUAAUUUCUUUGCUUGUCCCCUUGAUAGAACAUUUUACUUUAUUUAAAAUGUUUGACUCUAUUUGCAAAGGCAGGAUAAAAAAGCAUUUUAUUUUUGCUAUGAAAUGAGAGAGUGAAGCAAGUUCCUGCAAGCAGGCUGCUUUGUUGAGUCAAAUUUAUACUCUCAUUUUGAGUGUAGAGCUUAUAACAUUCUUCACUUCACAGGAAAAGAUACGCUUUACGCUAAUGCAUAGUAAUCUCUGUACAAUCCCAACUCACUUUCUCUGCUUUCAUCCACACCUUAGUGGGAAAUUUCUCUGAGAAAUUAACAUGGGAAUCAGCUUUUAAUUGCAUUUUCAAAUAUAUUUAUUGGUUAAGUUUUUUAUUGUAGUGUUAUGACAAAGUGAUUUUACUAAUUAAUACUAAUAGGUCUGUGAUAACAGAUAAAAGCCAGACACUGGAAAGUGCUGCAUGUGGACCGUUUACUUUCCUGGAACAUAUUGGACAUGAAAUAGGUUAAAUUGCUGUUAUUUUCAAAACACAUUAUAAAUUGGAAAAAUUGUCACUGAAAAAAAUAAGGCAUUCACCAAAUAUUAACUGUUAAGAGUGAAGUUAAGAGUUAUAGAUGGUCUCACAUUGUUUUUAUUUUAUGUGAUCAGUAUUAUAGAGUGGUUGUAUAUAAUAGAUAAUGCCAGCUAUUUCAGUAUGGGUGUCUUGCAAAAGCUAAAUAAAUAAAAAGUGACUUAGCUUUUAUUUACCUUGCAGCAGGUGAACAAAUAAGGUGACAGUGAAAUAAAUUAUUUUUUCCUGCCAGCUAAGCAUGUCGUCAAUCCUUCUUACUAAAGUAAUGAAGCAAGGAAACAAUAUUUUGUUUUCUUUUCACUGUAGUGGCGGAGUUUUACAUCAAAAAGGAAGAUAACACUUCAAAUUUGAGGAUAGCUGUAGCAUGGUAUUACUGUCUGCCUUCUAAGUCAAGUCCUGCUUUCUGUUUUAAAAAAAUCUGAAAUGGCUCUAGACUAUCCUGUCAUGAAUAUUGCCUCCUAGAAAUUACU